UACGUAGGGUGCGAGCGUUUGUCCGGAAUUAUUGGGCGUAAAGAGCUCAUAGGCGGUUUGUUGCGUCGGCUGUGAAAUCCCGAGGCUCAACCUCGGGUCUGCAGUCGAUACGAGCAAACUAGAGUGUUGCAGGGGAGACUGGAAUUCCUGGUGUAGCGGUGAAAUGCGCAGAUAUCAGGAGGAACACCGGUGGCGAAGGCGGCUCUCUGGACCGUAACUGACGCUGAGGCGCGAAAGCGUGGGGAGCAAACAGG
rnacentral:rRNA from 1 species